UAGACAACCUAACAAAGAAUGGAUCUGAGUCCUAUUUGGAUGCAUCAUCAACCAUUUCGCCAAGUCGCUUGUACAUUACCCUCUCAAAUUACAACGUGCCCGAUCAUGAAGACAGACGAUUCUUCUGCCCUGCAGAGCAAACACUUCUUAGUCGCAUACCCUGGUUGGUGUUAAAAAGCAACAACUACAUUGCAGCCGGUUUUUACUUUUUACCCGAAUACCGGCAAGCUCUGAACCAGCUCUUUCCUGAUAGGGCAAUGUUUCUGCACGCUGGGAGGUAUCUACUCAACCCACGCAAUGACAUAUGGGGCCGUAUAACGAGGUUCUACGACGGGUACCUUUUGAAUGCAGACAAGAAGAUCGGCAUACAGGUGCGCUCAUGGAAACCUGAGUACAACCCCAUUCUCAGCGAGCACAUCCUCCGGUGCGCCACUUUGAACA
rnacentral:lncRNA from 1 species